GAUGAAGAACGCAGCGAAAUGCGAUAAGUAAUGCGAAUUGCAGAAUUCAGUGAGUCAUCGAAUCUUUGAACGCACAUUGCGCCCCUUGGUAUUCCAUGGGGCAUGCCUGUUCGAGCGUCAUUUGUACCUUCAAGCUCUGCUUGGUGUUGGGUGUUUGUCUCGCCUCUGCGUGUAGACUCGCCUCAAAAUAAUUGGCAGCCGGCGUAUUGAUUUCGGAGCGCAGUACAUCUCGCGCUUUGCACUCAUAACGACGACGUCCAAAAGUACAUUUUUACACUCUUGACCUCGGAUCAGGUAGGGAUACCCGCUGAACUUAAGCAUAUCAAUAAGCGGAGGA
rnacentral:misc_RNA from 1 species